rfam:Archaeon GW2011_AR21 QT12_C0009, whole genome shotgun sequence.
AGCCCCGUAGUAUAGUGGUCAAGUAUGCCGGGCUUUGAACCCGUUGACGGGAGUUCGAAUCUCCCCGGGGCUA